rnacentral:rRNA from 1 species
CCUACGGGAGGCAGCAGUGAGGAAUAUUGGUCAAUGGACGAAAGUCUGAACCAGCCAAGUAGCGUGAAGGAUGAAUGCCCUAUGGGUUGUAAACUUCUUUUAUAAAGGAAUAAAACGAGGCACGUGUGCUUUUUUGUAUGUACUUUAUGAAUAAGGAUCGGCUAACUCCGUGCCAGCAGCCGCGGUAAUACGGAGGAUCCGAGCGUUAUCCGGAUUUAUUGGGUUUAAAGGGAGCGUAGAUGGGUUGUUAAGUCAGUUGUGAAAGUUUGCGGCUCAACCGUAAAAUUGCAAUUGAUACUGGGAGUCUUGAGUACAGUUGAGGUAGGCGGAAUGCGUGGUGUAGCGGUGAAAUGCUUAGAUAUCACGAAGAACCCCGAUUGCGAAGGCAGCUUACUAAGCUGUGACUGACAUUGAUGCUCGAAAGUGUGGGUAUCAAACAGGAUUAGAUACCCUGGUAGUC